GAGAUAUUGGAGAAAAGAAGCUAAAAAGACUUGGAGACUACCUGUGGAGAGCCUGGGAAAAUUUGCAGGAAAUGUUAGAAUUCAAAUAACUGUAUUUUAUGGAUGCCCCUGGAUAGGGCACAUGCUUUUGUUUCUCUAAAGUCUACAACACUGUCUGUUGUCUCUUUGGCCCAUCCCAGUCUUUUAAUCUCUAGAUUUGUCCGUCAUAAUAUUUCAAAUGGUAUUUCCAAACCAUCUCCUAGUUUCCCUCAAACAAGAACAUAGACACUGAACAAUUUCACAGUUGUAUGACCAGUAUUUUUCUAAAAUAAAAAUUACUUUUUACCCUGAAAAUUUAUAAUUAUAAAAUUUAUGGCUAAAACUAUUAAAUAUAAGAACCAACAACACUAACAACUACCAGAAAGGCCACACGAUGGCAGCAAAGUAUAGGGUACAAGCAGCAAGAGCCGGCGGCCUAGAGGGUGCUAUGCACUGAAUUCUCAGAUUCCGUCUAUUCUCUAUUGAGUUCAUACAUAUUAGUCAGCAGCUGUAAUGCUAGUAACAUUAUCUCCACACAGCACCUCACACUUUACAAAACUCCCACAGAUACUUUCUCUCGUCUACUUCUUACCACCACUCUGAGAAGUCAACAGGAAAAGGAUCAUGCUUUGUGUGGAGGAUAAAGAUGGAAGUUUUACUCCAGGUACUAGAAGCACCUCAGAGGCUCAAAGGGCGGCUUUAAAAACCCACUACAGACUUGGGGGCUUAAAACAACUCUUCUGGAGGUCUGAAGUCCAAAAUCAAGGUGUCCACAGGGCUGUGCUCCUUCCAAAAGCUCUAGGUUCAGCGCAAAACUGACUCAUGCAGUACCGGGAUCGCUGCCAGAGCGACGGAGCGCGCGAGCAGCGCGGCAUCAACAGGCAGAAGGUGCCACGGGGCGGACGGGACCCACUGCCCGGGUCCAGACUUUCCAUCCGAGAAAGCAAAAGCUUUCAGUAUCCAACUUAUUAGAAGAUAACAUCUUGAUAGGGUUCUCGGGCCUUCUUAAAAUAAAUCUGUCAGACUGUGCUUUUGAAUCUGUCCUGUGUCAAGGUUGCUCCCCCAGGGCAGGGCAGCAAUUUAGCUUUUGCAAGAUCCUGCACUUGCUCCUCAAACGCCAAAGCAGCAACGCGAGCAACUUCCGAGCAGCUGCUUCUUCCCCACUCAAAGCCACAUCACCAACUUCCUCAGCAGCAGCCCCAGCAGCAAUCUGGGUGUUCAAUCUAUCUCGAUCUCACAAUGCCCAUGCCUCCUAGAGGUCUUCCCAGAGCUUAGGAGUCUUUGCCCCUCCUGGGAACUUUCUGAGGGUCCAUAUAGUGGUCCUUAGCACUAUUGCUGUUUUUUUUUUUUUUUUAAUUUUAGUUGUAAUAUACGAGUGUUAGCAAUCCUCAUACAUCUCUGACUUAUCCACAGUGCCUAGUAUACAAUGGACAAUUUAGUGAACAAUGAAUAAAUCAGAAUAUUGAGGCUUAGGAAACUAGGACCCAUCACGAACCUUCUCAUAGUAAUCCAGAUCCUGGAUGGAAGCUUUUAAUAAACACAACUUCUGUUUUCCUUCCUCUUUGUUUUUUAUUUCUUCUCGAAAGAGACUUAAUUGAAGAAAAUGAGCUCUUUCACUUCUUCCAUCCUCCAGGAACAUAAAACUGACAGCCUCCUCCAAAUGAUUAUUUAGCAUUUAAUGAUUUAUUCCUUGAGCGCCCAGUUGAUCUUCCUUGGGCCCAUUUGAAGAACUCUUGUAGCAAGGGGAAAAUUCACAUGAUCAUGCACAGCGUCAAGCUCCAUUUACCUUUUGUCCUUUAAUGAUACUGAUGAGCAGGCAGGUGAUUUAAAAGAGAACAAAUGGUCAUUAAAAUUAAUCAAAAGGACACAAUAAGGAAAAAUGUGCUAUAUAAGGGCAACAUAAGUUUUGUAGUGACACAAACAGAACAAAACAAACAAAACUCAAAGGAAUGCAAAGGUGGCAUGUAUAGUAUUUUAGCCCUUUAAUUUGAACCCAAGGACUUAAAUAUGCACAGUUUUAUGCACAGACAAAUACCACUCACUGGGGCCAAAUACACAGUAACAAUGCUAAAAGUUUACCCCUUAGACUAUUUUUAGAAAUUACAUACUAAACUAUUUUAAUCAGAGCUAUAAAGCACACAGUGACCCAUUCACAAUUUACACCAAGAAUUCUGUUUUUAUGUACAAUUUAAAAUGCAGGGGACUCACUGUCAUCACAAUGGCAAUGUAUAGAACAUUUUAAAAGCCUACAAUGAGAAAUAGGAGCCAUUUCAUGGUCAUCCUCAUAGUUUUUCCAACCGUUAGAAUUACUUUAUAUAAAAUAAAUAUUUAGUAAAUGUUAGAAAAAGGGAGAGAGAAAAUGAGGGAAGAAGGGUGAUGACAUGACUCUAGGAAUGAAGAAAUGGCAUUCGGAAAAGGUAUUUUCUUUUAUACUUGGGAAAGCAAAGGACAGAAGUAAUGAGCAAAACUUUAUACUAAAGAGUCUCAUUCUAUAUUCAGUGGUCAGAACUAGGAAAGGUUAUUUUGGAAAGUUGUUCUCUUCCUGUAGGAUAGGGGUUCUCAGUGCUUAUGGAACCUACUUCUGAACUGGCCUUAAAAAUAAUCUUGGAAAGGGGAUGGUUGGUGCCUUGUGGAGCUUAAAAAAAAAAAAGGAUAGUCAAUAUACCUGUGAUGGUCAAUUUUAUGUGUCAACUUGACCAGCCAAAGAGUGUCCAGAUAUAUGUUCAAAUAUUAUUCUAAGUAUUCCUGCAACGUUGUUUUUGGAUGAGAUUAACAUUUAAAUCAGUAGAGUGAGUAAAGCAAAUUGACCUCUGUAAUGGUGGGUGGGCCUCAUCCAAUCAGUUGAAGGCCUGAGUAGAACAAAAAGUUAACUCUCCCCUGAUUAAGACAGAAAUUCCUACCUGAAGGCCUUUGAACUGGAGCAUCAACUCUUCCUGGUUCUACAGCAGCCUACUAGCCUUCGGACUUAAACUGGGACACUGGCUCUGCAGACAGUGGACCAGCCUCAAUAAUCACAUGAGCCAAUUUCUUAUAAUAAAUAAAUAAAUAAAUAAAAAUCUCCUAUUGGUUCCAAUUCUCCAGAGACCCCUGACUAACAUAAUACCUAUUUUACGAUACUUAUUAGAAAAAAUAAAACCCAACCAAAUUUGGGUAUAAGAAACAAACAGAGCAAGAAGACAUUUCAAAAGCGGUCUGAGUUUUAAAAUGUCAACACUGCUGGUGUGUCAGCAACAUUUAAUUGCCAUCUUAUCCAUGCCCUUCCUCUUACAUGUUCAGCAAGUGUCAUUUAGUCUUCAUUUAAGUUAGGAACAAAAGUUCAAUAAUAGGUUUAACCCAGUUUUCUCCUUUCCCAGCCUCUUUUACCCUAAGGUGCCCUUGAAGCAAGGGCCUCUGCCCAGCCAUUCCCUAACAGAGGAUCAUGGGAGUGAAGUAUAGUGUCUUUCCUGUCCAGAUUAAACAUUAUCGUUGAGCUAUAAAGCUAGAUGCUGCUUUGGGAAGGGAUCACAUACAGGACUCUUGUAUUUUACUGACUUUUCUGCAAUUAAUAAUCUACUUCUCAUAGUACAUAUCCUAAAACUUAAAAGGAGUGCAGAAGUUAGCUAGUCAAUAUUGUUUAUUUUGGAUAUGGAGAAACAAAGCCUCAGAGGAGAAAAAUGUCCUAUCUGUACCAUACAGCAAUUAUUAGCAGAUCUGUAAAGCCUGCUAUAUAAUGAAGCCUCAAUUCUUAGCAUGUCUUUAAGAUGCAAGAAUUUUUAAAAAGUGUAGUUGGAGCUUCAUGAAAAUCCACUAUGUCUGCUCUGCAGGAGGGGCUAUGCUUCUGACCCUUUACCAUAUAAACUUUUGCUUAAAGAUCAAAUCAAGAAAAUAAACCUCUGAAUCUCUAAGUAGCACUGCACAAUUGGAUAGUUCAUGUCGUCCUACUCAAAAAUGGGCCACCUCCUGUCAAUGAAACCAGACUUCCAAAACAUAGGUUAUCAUAGCAUUCCCCAUUCAAACCCCUGCAAUGAUUCUCCAUUGCUUAGGGGGGAUGAGGGCAAAUGUUCAAAUGCUUAGCCUAAAAUUUAAGAACCUCCAUAAUCAAAGCUUAACCUACUCUAGCAACACAUAUUUGUUGAAUACUACUGUGUACUAGGUACAAUAAUUGAGACAGUAGAUAAAAAUGCAUCUUUGGAAGUGACUCCUCCAGCCCAGUCAAACUUUCAGGUAACUGCACAUGCAGAAGUGGUCACCUGCUUAACAGCAAUCUCAUGAGAGACCCUGAACCAGAGCCACCCAGCUAAGCCGCUCCCAAAUGUCUGGCCCACAGAAACUGUGAGAUAAUGAAUAGUUAUUUUAAGCCACUGAGUUUUGGGAUAAUCUUUUAUGCAAUAAUGGAUAAUGUACACAUCCAUGAACAGAUAAAUGGAUAAACAGACUAUGGUAUAUCCAUACAAUGGAAUACAACUAAGCAAUAACAAGAGGUGAACUAUUAUUAUAUAUAACAUGCUUUAAAAUCUCAAAUAAUUACAUGGAGUGAAGUAAGCCUAGAAGAGACAAACUAAUCAAUUAUGAUGGAAAACAAGUAGUGAUUGCCUAAGGAUGGAGAGGAGGCAAAGAGAGAAAGAGUUCAAACACGUACAAUGAAACUCUGGGGAUGCAAUUGUUAUAUUCAUUAAUUUUAUCAUGGUAAUAGUUUCAUGUCAAAAUUUGUCAAAUUGUACAUUUUAAUUGUGCACAGUUUGUUGUAAUCUGUCAAUUAAACCUCAAUAGAGCUAUAAAAAAUCAAGUAAAAAUGGUGAUCAAAGCAUUGGCAUUGGCCCUGUCCUAAUGUACUUCAGUUUGGAAUAAAGGACAUUAACUUCGCUAAUAGCCACAGUGCAGUGGAAGAAGGGCUAACACAGCAACAUGGAGGAGGAAGAGGAGGAGGAGGAGAAGAAAGAGGAGGAAGAGGAGGAGGAGGAGGAAAGUCUCCUGUUCUCUGCCUCCCACUAGGGCUUCCAUAUUGAAGUCCUUUCUUUGUUUUUCCUUUUCCUUCUUUUGGUACCACUUAGCCAGUAGGGUUUGCUAAUGCUUUUUUUUUGCAUUUAGGUUUUGGUCCCUCUUAAGCCUAGUUUCUUUCUAAUUCAGACUGAUUUUUUUUUAAAGAUCUAUUCUGGAUCUCUUCUCUAAAUGACUCUGGCCUAUUGAUAAACUUUUCACCCCAACAAAUAAUCUGUAGGGUGUUGAGAAGCUUUAAACUGAUAUAUGUAGCACCUAGCUGCCACUUUAUGAAUAGUUAAUACAUUGUAAUUAUUAUGUUGAUAUUGUUACUACUAUAAGGUUAUAUUCUAUGAUAAAUAUGAAAAAGGUACUUGAAAAAAAUAACUAAGGUUUUCUUUCACCAAUAGAUUUUUUACUUGCAAUGAAAAUUUUAGAAUUGUAAUUUCACCAUCCAAAUAACCUUUGUUUUAAAUCAUCAGAUAAAUCAGGUCACUGAGGGGAAAGGGUGAGUUGGGGUUAAACAUUAACAAAUCCUUUGGGAGGUCAGGCAAUUGAAUGAUGUCUUUUCCAGCACAUUUAUGCAGCCCUUUUUUUUCUGCUUACAAACGAAGAAAAAUAAUGAAUGUUGCCUUUGGGUUAGAAAAGUACAGCACAGGGAAAGAACCAUCUCUCACUUUAUAAUAUGUAAAACAAUUUCAUAUUCACCAUAUGAUUUCAUCCGCACAGCAACCAUGUUGUAACAAAGGCAGGGAAUGUUACCCAAUCACACAGAUGAGAGAGCUGAAGGUAAGUCAGAUAAAGUAACUUGCCAAAUACCACGCAAGCUAGUUUUAGAACAACUGACUCUAAAUCUUGCACAUUUUCCAUAACACUGAAAUGUUUAAGAAGAAAGUUUGAUUGGAAAAGGAGGUAAGAAAAGGAAGUAUUGUGUGACUUAAAGUAAAGAGUAAUGUCUUAGAAAGGUACUGAGGGGAAAUCAGGUCAAUGUCUUACCUGCAUGCUAUGGCCUCUCCUUAUACUAAGAGAAUGAUUAAAUAAAUGAUAAUUAAAUCCAUCAGAUACAUUAUUUAAGAAUACUUGAUGGUAUGGAAAAAAAAUGCUCAUAUUUUAAUAUUAAGUUUGAAAGGCAGAGAAAGAACAACAGUUUAGUCCCAAAUCUGCUAGGUGGCAGGGGAGGGCAGAAAAAUAAAUCAUCAUGUUUAUUGCGGCACUAUUCACAAUAGCAAAGACUUGGAACCAACCCAAAUGCCCAUCAGUGAUAGACUGGACAAAGAAAAUGUGACACAUAGACACCAUGGAAUACUAUGCAGCCAUAAAAAAGGACGAGUUCAUGUUCUUUGCAGGGACAGGGGAUGAAGCUGGUAACCAUCAUUCUUGGCAAACUAACACAAGAACAGAGUACCAAACACUGUAUGUCUCACUCAUAAGUGGGAAUUGAACAAUGAGAACACCGGGACACAGGGAGGGAACAUCACACACCAGG
rnacentral:lncRNA from 1 species